UGCAGUCGAACGAUGAUGCCCAGCUUGCUGGGUGGAUUAGUGGCGAACGGGUGAGUAACACGUGAGUAACCUGCCCCUGACUCUGGGAUAAGCGUUGGAAACGACGUCUAAUACUGGAUAUGACUGCCGGCCGCAUGGUCUGGUGGUGGAAAGAUUUUUUGGUUGGGGAUGGACUCGCGGCCUAUCAGCUUGUUGGUGAGGUAAUGGCUCACCAAGGCGACGACGGGUAGCCGGCCUGAGAGGGUGACCGGCCACACUGGGACUGAGACACGGCCCAGACUCCUACGGGAGGCAGCAGUGGGGAAUAUUGCACAAUGGGCGAAAGCCUGAUGCAGCAACGCCGCGUGAGGGAUGACGGCCUUCGGGUUGUAAACCUCUUUUAGUAGGGAAGAAGCGAAAGUGACGGUACCUGCAGAAAAAGCACCGGCUAACUACGUGCCAGCAGCCGCGGUAAUACGUAGGGUGCAAGCGUUGUCCGGAAUUAUUGGGCGUAAAGAGCUCGUAGGCGGUUUGUCGCGUCUGCUGUGAAAUCCCGAGGCUCAACCUCGGGCUUGCAGUGGGUACGGGCAGACUAGAGUGCGGUAGGGGAGAUUGGAAUUCCUGGUGUAGCGGUGGAAUGCGCAGAUAUCAGGAGGAACACCGAUGGCGAAGGCAGAUCUCUGGGCCGUAACUGACGCUGAGGAGCGAAAGCGUGGGGAGCGAACAGGAUUAGAUACCCUGGUAGUCCACGCCGUAAACGUUGGGCGCUAGAUGUAGGGACCUUUCCACGGUUUCUGUGUCGUAGCUAACGCAUUAAGCGCCCCGCCUGGGGAGUACGGCCGCAAGGCUAAAACUCAAAGGAAUUGACGGGGGCCCGCACAAGCGGCGGAGCAUGCGGAUUAAUUCGAUGCAACGCGAAGAACCUUACCAAGGCUUGACAUACACCGGAAACGGCCAGAGAUGGUCGCCCCCUUGUGGCCGGUGUACAGGUGGUGCAUGGUUGUCGUCAGCUCGUGUCGUGAGAUGUUGGGUUAAGUCCCGCAACGAGCGCAACCCUCGUUCUAUGUUGCCAGCGCGUUAUGGCGGGGACUCAUAGGAGACUGCCGGGGUCAACUCGGAGGAAGGUGGGGAUGACGUCAAAUCAUCAUGCCCCUUAUGUCUUGGGCUUCACGCAUGCUACAAUGGCCGGUACAAAGGGCUGCGAUACCGUAAGGUGGAGCGAAUCCCAAAAAGCCGGUCUCAGUUCGGAUUGAGGUCUGCAACUCGACCUCAUGAAGUCGGAGUCGCUAGUAAUCGCAGAUCAGCAACGCUGCGGUGAAUACGUUCCCGGGCCUUGUACACACCGCCCGUCAAGUCAUGAAAGUCGGUAACACCCGAAGCCGGUGGCCUAACCCUUGUGGAAG
rnacentral:rRNA from 1 species